rnacentral:rRNA from 1 species
ACAUCCAGAGAACUUAGCAGAGAUGCUUUGGUGCCUUCGGGAACUCUGAGACAGGUGCUGCAUGGCUGUCGUCAGCUCGUGUUGUGAAAUGUUGGGUUAAGUCCCGCAACGAGCGCAACCCUUAUCCUUUGUUGCCAGCGGUUCGGCCGGGAACUCAAAGGAGACUGCCGGUGAUAAACCGGAGGAAGGUGGGGAUGACGUCAAGUCAUCAUGGCCCUUACGGCCAGGGCUACACACGUGCUACAAUGGCGCAUACAAAGAGAAGCGACCUCGCGAGAGCAAGCGGACCUCAUAAAGUGCGUCGUAGUCCGGAUUGGAGUCUGCAACUCGACUCCAUGAAGUCGGAAUCGCUAGUAAUCGUAGAUCAGAAUGCUACGGUGAAUACGUUCCCGGGCCUUGUACACACCGCCCGUCACACCAUGGGAGUGGGUUGACAAAAGAAGUAGGUAGCUUAACCUUCGGGAGGGCGCUUACCACUUUGUGAUUCAUGACUGGGGUGAAGUCGUAACAAGGUAAGCGUAGCGAG